AAUGCAUAUUGACCAUCUGCUGCAGUUUAAAGGCACCCAUGACAUUAAAUGCUAGGAUAUAUCAUUGGCCUCUGGCAAAUAAAUGGGCUCCGAGCGACAAGGCGCGUUUCAAGAUUUCACACUUUUAUUGGUGCUAAACAACAAGUUAUUGGAAGCUUAUUGAUUUCUUCUGUUCAAAGUAUCUUUGAUCUCUCAUUUGUACUAAUUUGUUUAUUUUCUUGGAUGAAAUUGGAUUUUCUUUGCUUUGAAAUUGACAUUUUUGGGGUGAUUAAAAAAAAAAACCCACAAAAUUGACAUUAUCAAAUUGCUUAGAGUGAAAAUAUCUAACAAAGUCAUUCUUUCACCACCCCGCAUAAGCCCCACGUGCAUGUCCAUUUGGUUUGUUUUGGUAUUUUGUUGCAGAUAUUGAACUUAGCACAUUUAAAUCUUAAAGGGACAUUUAAGCUUUAACAGGCCUAAAAUCGCCUUCUUUGGACCGAAAACACCCGCGUGUGAAAAUAUGAAAAAAAAUGGCCAAAUGGACAGAUAAUCCAGCCAAACUUAUUAUGUGUGUGCAAUAUGAAUAGGAAGAUAAGAAUAUGCAAGAAAAACACAUUUUAAUCAGAUGAUAUUUUUCCUUUAGGUUGCAAUAUAGUAAAUCUUUUUGGAGUGCAAUGCUAUACUCUCUAAAAACAUGAACAUCAUUUAUUUGAAGACACGGUUCUCUGUAGGGUCACUUGCCAUGACUUUAUUUGAGUAUAUUUCUGUGUGCAUGUGGCAGGGAAAACAUUGUUGUUUACUAGAAAUUCACUCUUUUAUCUGAAGAUUGGAGACUACAUAAGACUUUGACAGAUGGCGGGAAACCCUCAUGAACUGGAUAGAAGCCGGUAGAGGAAUGUCUGCGACUAAGCCGAGGGCCACUGGAUAAGGGUUGUUGAUGGUAAAACAGGUAGAGGAAUGUCUGCGACUAAGCCGAGGGCCACUGGAUAAGGGUUGUUGAUGGUAAAACAGGUAGAGGAAUGUCUGCGACUAAGCCGAGGGCCACUGGAUAAGGGUUGUUGAUGGUAAAACAGGUAGAGGAAUGUCUGCGACUAAGCCGAGGGCCACUGGAUAAGGGUUGUUGAUGGUAAAACAGAUUGGAGACUACAUAAGACUUUGACAGAUGGCGGGAAACCCUCAUGAACUGGAUAGAAGCCGGU